rnacentral:lncRNA from 1 species
UGAAGAAAAUGCUCCACGAGGAAUUUUUUUAUGGUAGAUCUGCCCCAGUUUCUUGCAUUGAGCAUCUGCCAUGAUGAAGGAGUCCAGCCCAUCAUUCUUUUGCCAGGGACUCACUCUGAAGAACUGGAGCUAUCAGCUCAGCAAAUAAAACCAGAAUAAGUCAAGGAUGCUGCUUUGACAGAAAUGCUAGUUGGUGCCACUUACAAGAGGCUACAAGGCAAUGGGGUCCUGUCUCAUCUAGCAAAAUUGCUAGCGUUCGCCUGAUGCUCUGGUGGCUGGUAGCGCAAUGCAUCGCAAGACAAGCUGUAUCUACAAAAAGGUAGCAUGGUAGAGGGAUUCAGAGUAUGAGCCAAUCAUGUUUGCAUCUCAGCUCUGCAGCUUACAAACUGUAUGCCCUUGAGUGAAUUACUUAAACUCUUUCUGUCUCAGUUUAUUCAUCCACAGAAUGGGUAUAAUAGCUUCCCGGCACAGUGGUUCACUCCUGUAACCUCAGCAUUUUGGGAGACCAAGGCAGAAUCCCAACGUGUCACUUCAUGAAGCUCAGGACCACCGUCAAGAGACCUGGAAACUUCAGAAAAAUCCUAGAACAGCCAGGAUGAUCUUUCCAAAGCACAUAUUUGAUGAUGUCUGACCUCAGACUAAAUAGCUGGCCAC